GGGGCUGUCUGGCUUCGACGGGCAGUGGAAUCCGAGAUAUAAGCAUGCGGAAGGGUCGGCUUCCUAAAAACGCAAAAAUGCAUAAAUGCAAACAAUAACGUAAAGACAACAAGCUUUAGACCUGUUGCCUGCGCAGCCUGAGGGCAGCGCCGUCACUUUGUGAGUUCACCGGCACAAAACUGGCGUCAUUAGGUGAAAACCACUGCAAUUAGGGUCAAGUUGCUGUUGGAUUAAAUGGCCCUCGGGGUAAUGCACUUGCUCGUUCUAUUGCAUUAUCGCUAAACAAAUGAAUGAGAUAAGCAUGUAGAAGGUCUCGAAGGAUGUUGUUCGGACAUGGGUUCAAUUCCCAUCAGCUCCACCA
rnacentral:tmRNA from 1 species